GGCAUGCCUAACACAUGCAAGUCGAACGAAGCCUUCGGGCUUAGUGGCGCACGGGUGCGUAACGCGUGGGAAUCUGCCCUUGGGUUCGGAAUAACAGUUAGAAAUGACUGCUAAUACCGGAUGAUGUCUUCGGACCAAAGAUUUAUCGCCCAAGGAUGAGCCCGCGUAGGAUUAGGUAGUUGGUGGGGUAAAGGCCUACCAAGCCGACGAUCCUUAGCUGGUCUGAGAGGAUGAUCAGCCACACUGGGACUGAGACACGGCCCAGACUCCUACGGGAGGCAGCAGUGGGGAAUAUUGGACAAUGGGGGCAACCCUGAUCCAGCAAUGCCGCGUGAGUGAUGAAGGCCUUAGGGUCGUAAAGCUCUUUUACCAGGGAUGAUAAUGACAGUACCUGGAGAAUAAGCUCCGGCUAACUCCGUGCCAGCAGCCGCGGUAAUACGGAGGGAGCUAGCGUUGUUCGGAAUUACUGGGCGUAAAGCGCACGUAGGCGGUUAUUCAAGUCAGAGGUGAAAGCCCGGGGCUCAACCCCGGAACUGCCUUUGAAACUAGAUGACUGGAAUCUUGGAGAGGUCAGUGGAAUUCCGAGUGUAGAGGUGAAAUUCGUAGAUAUUCGG
rnacentral:rRNA from 1 species